rnacentral:sRNA from 1 species
UCGCCGAAGCGAGCCCCUAGGAUGGGGUUAA